AGUGAACGCUGGCGGUAGGCCUAACACAUGCAAGUCGAACGGCAGCACAGUAAGAGCUUGCUCUUACGGGUGGCGAGUGGCGGACGGGUGAGGAAUACAUCGGAAUCUACUUUUUCGUGGGGGAUAACGUAGGGAAACUUACGCUAAUACCGCAUACGACCUACGGGUGAAAGCAGGGGAUCUUCGGACCUUUCGCGAUUGAAUGAGCCGAUGUCGUAUUAGCUAGUUGGCGGGGUAAAGGCCCACCAAGGCGACGAUCCGUAGCUGGUCUGAGAGGAUGGUCAGCCACACUGGAACUGAGACACGGUCCAGACUCCUACGGGAGGCAGCAGUGGGGAAUAUUGGACAAUGGGCGCAAGCCUGAUCCAGCCAUACCGCGUGGGUGAAGAAGGCCUUCGGGUUGUAAAGCCCUUUUGUUGGGAAAGAAAAGCAGCAGGUUAAUACCCCGCUGUUCUGACGGUACCCAAAGAAUAAGCACCGGCUAACUUCGUG
rnacentral:rRNA from 1 species